UCUCGUUAAAUAGUAACUAAU
ensembl:piRNA 21ur-7336 ncRNA